CUCCUAAGGCUAAAUACUCUCUAGUGACCGAUAGUGAACCAGUACCGUGAGGGAAAGGUGAAAAGCACCCCGGAAGGGGAGUGAAAUAGAACCUGAAACCGUGUGCUUACAAGUAGUCAGAGCCCGUUAAUGGGUGAUGGCGUGCCUUUUGUAGAAUGAACCGGCGAGUUACGAUUUGAUGCAAGGUUAAGCAGUAAAUGUGGAGCCGUAGCGAAAGCGAGUCUGAAUAGGGCGUUUAGUAUUUGGUCGUAGACCCGAAACCAGGUGAUCUACCCUUGGUCAGGUUGAAGUUCAGGUAACACUGAAUGGAGGACCGAACCGACUUACGUUGAAAAGUGAGCGGAUGAACUGAGGGUAGCGGAGAAAUUCCAAUCGAACCUGGAGAUAGCUGGUUCUCUCCGAAAUAGCUUUAGGGCUAGCCUCAAGUGAUGAUUAUUGGAGGUAGAGCACUGUUUGGACGAGGGGCCCCUCUCGGGUUACCGAAUUCAGACAAACUCCGAAUGCCAAUUAAUUUAACUUGGGAGUCAGAACAUGGGUGAUAAGGUCCGUGUUCGAAAGGGAAACAGCCCAGACCACCAGCUAAGGUCCCAAAAUAUAUGUUAAGUGGAAAAGGAUGUGGCGUUGCCCAGACAACUAGGAUGUUGGCUUAGAAGCAGCCAUCAUUUAAAGAGUGCGUAAUAGCUCACUAGUCGAGUGACACUGCGCCGAAAAUGUACCGGGGCUAAACAUAUUACCGAAGCUGUGGAUUGUCCUUUGGACAAUGGUAGGAGAGCGUUCUAAGGGCGUUGAAGCAUGAUCGUAAGGACAUGUGGAGCGCUUAGAAGUGAGAAUGCCGGUGUGAGUAGCGAAAGACGGGUGAGAAUCCCGUCCACCGAUUGACUAAGGUUUCCAGAGGAAGGCUCG
rnacentral:rRNA from 1 species